GACGAACGCUGGCGGCGUGCUUAACACAUGCAAGUCGAACGGUGAAGCGCCUUCCUUUUUGGUGGGUGUGGAUGAGUGGCGAACGGGUGAGUAACACGUGAGUACCUGCCCCCUUCUUCUGGAUAACCGCAUGAAAGUGUGGCUAAUACGGGAUAUUCUGGGUCUGUCGCAUGAUGGGUCUGGGAAAGAUAUUGUUUCGGUGGGGGAUGGGCUCGCGGCCUAUCAGCUUGUUGGUGGGGUGAUGGCCUACCAAGGCGGUGACGGGUAGCCGGCCUGAGAGGGUGGACGGUCACACUGGGACUGAGACACGGCCCAGACUCCGACGGGAGGCAGCAGUGGGGAAUAUUGCACAAUGGGCGCAAGCCUGAUGCAGCGACGCCGCGUGAGGGAUGGAGGCCUUCGGGUUGUGAACCUCUUUCGCCAGUGAAGCAGGCCUGCCUCGUUUGUGGGUGGGUUGACGGUAGCUGGAUAAGAAGCGCCGGCUAACUACGUG
rnacentral:rRNA from 1 species